rnacentral:misc_RNA from 1 species
UUAAGUUCAGCGGGUAGUCUUACUUGAUUUGAGAUCGAGUUGAACAGAGGACAAAGAGUCCUCUGACAAUUCCUGCAUCAGUCGGGCAAUAAGGACAAUCGACCUUUAAUAUCUUAGCUGCAGCAAUAGUAAUAGUCCGUCUGACGGGACUAAAUAAGUAAUGCUUUUAGCUCAGAAGAUGUGUCCUGCCGCACCUGCAU